AAGAAAAUGUUUGUGGACAUAGAGAGGCUGUACUCUCAGCUGAUGGGGCUCUGUGUGUGUGUGAGAUGGAUUAUCAACACCAUAAUGCACCGUAAUGCUAAAGGGUUUUCCUGAGGUGUUUCUGUACCUGUGUUUCUGCAGGUGUCCUCUAGAGUAUCUCACCUUUCUGCUUUUCUUUAAGCUUUACAGCCCUGCAGCAGUCUGAGGAUUCCUGUUAUGUUAAUUUUCCAAACCCAGUAUUCACUAUAAGAAGUACCCCAGCUCCUACAGGAUGGGAUUGUCAGGAGAGUGCUUGAAGCUCUGCAGAGAAUCCUUCCUUCCUCAGGAUUCAGAAUUUUUCUCUCAAAAUGCAGACUCUGAUAAGCAGCUUCUGCUCUGCUUUAUUUCCCCCUCACUAACAGUUGGCAGGAUUGUUUGUUUUCCCACUCCACAAUAUAACCUCUCCAGCAGAAGUGCCCGACUCGCUUUGUGGAGGAAGGAUGUCAAACUGAAUGUUGAGUUACAGCCUGUACAUCUGUCCUAGCACAAUUCAGGCUGUAGAACUGCCUGCCUGCUCUUGUUGAUGGGGAGGAGGGGGACUGGGAGGCUUGCAAAGAAAGAUCUGUAAUCUUUGUCCCUCUGACAUCCACCCAGCAAGGUGCCUAAAUAAACACUGAACAUGUCCCCCCCCUGAAUUUGGGAAGCCCACUCCUAUAGUCAGAGGCAAUUAGAUCCUAAAGUGCUUUUUAUGAGUGGAGGAUCAGUAAAUUCCUUUUGAAAUUUGCAAAAACAAUUGGCAAAGAAGGGAUGGAAGAGCAGCACCAGAGAAACAGCACCACAUAAGCAAACAAAAUAUGUGUUUCUGGGACAUGUCAGCUCUAGUGUGACAAAUGGUGGGCCCAAACAAAGCCUGCCCUUAGAUGGGAACAGUAGGCUCCAUAAAUCAUCAGUGCUGCAACUUUCCAGGAGGCAGCAAUAACAGUGUUGGACAUGCUAAAAUAAAGUCACUUCAUCUGACCGGCUGUAAUAGGUGACACCACAUGGAGGGUGAGAAAAUGCCCUCGGGAAAAUGCUGACACUUAAGGAAGGGUGCACAUGGAGCCUGGAUCACCUGCUGUUCUGAGAUGUGGCCCCACCUGAGCCUGACACCAGCUCUGGCUGGCACUGUCCCUGCCUCCUGACACACACCACCCUCCUUCGUUUUGCCCAACUCCAGAACCUCCCGUGGUGAGCUUGUUCCUCCUGCUGUCCGCUGAAAGAGGCCUCCUCCCUGCCGGCAGGAUUAACCCCAUCCUGUUUGCUUGGGGACAAGAGAUGUGUGCAGGGAACAGAAGGCCCCGGUGCCACCACCCCGCAGCUUCACACCAGAUAACCCCUCUCCUGGUGUGCCUCUAAUCAGUCACUAGUUUUUGUCAUCCACUGAAGUUUAUUACCAUUUAAAUAGUCUUUCAGCCUGAGACGUCCUGUGGGGUUUCUGCCUCUGCUGCCUCAUGCCCUGUGAAAUUAAUUCCUGUAAGAGCACGUCCUCACAGGAAAAUGGUAAGAGCUCAACUAAGCUGGUUUAGAAACUGAUUUAAAUCCCCACAAGUCCUUCUAUGGCCCUUUAGUUUGGACUGGGGCACUUUCUAAGUACACAGCUUGGGGUAAAAUAUGCUUAGACUGGAAAGUGCUUAUU